UGGGGAAUAUUGGACAAUGGGCGGAAGCCUGAUCCAGCAACGCCGCGUGAGGGAUGACGGCCUUCGGGUUGUAAACCUCUUUCAGUACCGACGAAGCGAAAGUGACGGUAGGUACAGAAGAAGGACCGGCCAACUACGUGCCAGCAGCCGCGGUAAUACGUAGGGUCCGAGCGUUGUCCGGAAUUAUUGGGCGUAAAGGGCUCGUAGGCGGUUUGUCGCGUCGGGAGUGAAAACAGCGGGCUUAACUCGUUGCUUGCUUUCGAUACGGGCAGACUAGAGGUAUGCAGGGGAGAAUGGAAUUCCUGGUGUAGCGGUGAAAUGCGCAGAUAUCAGGAGGAACACCGGUGGCGAAGGCGGUUCUCUGGGCAUUACCUGACGCUGAGGAGCGAAAGUGUGGGGAGCGAACAGGAUUAGAUAACCCUGGG
rnacentral:rRNA from 1 species